rnacentral:rRNA from 1 species
UACAGAGGGGGCAAGCGUUGUUCGGAAUUAUUGGGCGUAAAGCGCGUGUAGGCGGCUUGGCAAGUCGGGUGUGAAAUCCCUCAGCUUAACUGAGGAAGUGCGCCCGAAACUGCCGAGCUUGAGUACCGGAGAGGGUGGCGGAAUUCCCCAAGUAGAGGUGAAAUUCGUAGAUAUGGGGAGGAACACCGGUGGCGAAGGCGGCCACCUGGACGGAUACUGACGCUGAGACGCGAAAGCGUGGGGAGCAAACAGG